rnacentral:rRNA from 1 species
AACGAACGCUGGCGGCAUGCCUAACACAUGCAAGUCGAACGAGACCUUCGGGUCUAGUGGCGCACGGGUGCGUAACGCGUGGGAAUCUGCCCUUGGGUUCGGAAUAACAGUUAGAAAUGACUGCUAAUACCGGAUGAUGUCUUCGGACCAAAGAUUUAUCGCCCAGGGAUGAGCCCGCGUAGGAUUAGCUAGUUGGUGGGGUAAAGGCCUACCAAGGCGACGAUCCUUAGCUGGUCUGAGAGGAUGAUCAGCCACACUGGGACUGAGACACGGCCCAGACUCCUACGGGAGGCAGCAGUGGGGAAUAUUGGACAAUGGGCGAAAGCCUGAUCCAGCAAUGCCGCGUGAGUGAUGAAGGCCUUAGGGUUGUAAAGCUCUUUUACCCGGGUAUGAUAAUGACAGUACCGGGAGAAUAAAGCCCCGGCUAACUCCGUGCCAGCAGCCGC